GCCAAUUCUUGUGCUUCCUCCUGCACAAGUUGAAGUCCUUUACUGUGAGCUGUCAGCAGCUGAGAAGGACUUCUAUGAGGCUCUUUUAAGAGAUCUAAGGUAAAGUUUGAUAUGUUUGUGGAGCAAGGGCGGGUUCUUCACAAUUAUGCUUCAAUUUUGGAGUUGCUUUUACGCCUUCGGCAGUGUUGCGACCAUCCCUUCCUUGUCAUGAGUCGAGGUGAUACACAAGAGUUCUCAGACCUCAACAAACUUGCAAAACAUUUUCUGAAAGGUGGUAAAGAUGCUGGUAAUGGAGAUACCUGUGCUGUCCCUUCUAAGGCAUACAUUAAAGAGGUUGUGGAAGAGCUGCGUAAAGGAGAGGAAGGAGAGUGUCCAAUUUGUUUAGAAGCUUAUGAAGAUGCAGUAUUGACACCGUGUGCACACUGUUUAUGCCGAGAGUGCCUCUUCGCUAGCUGGCGAAGUGCCUUGAGUGGUCUUUGUCCUGUUUGUAGGAAAAUUAUAAAUAAGCAGGAUCUUAUUACUGCUCCGACCGACCGUCGUUUUCGAAUUGAUGUUGAGAAGAACUGGGUUGAAUCUUCAAAGGUUUCUGUUCUCCUUCAGGAAUUAGACAAACUUCGCCCUUUAGGUGCCAAAAGUAUCAUAUUUUAGCCAAUGGACUGGUUUUCUGGAUCUUCUGGAAAUACCGCUUUCUCGACACAAUUUCUUGUUUGUUAGAUUGGAUGGGACCUUAAAUCAACAGCGAAGGGAAAAAGUACUCAACAAGUUUGCUGAGAAUACAAAUAUAUUGGUACUUCUAAUGUCACUGAAGGCUGGUGGUGUUGGAAUAAACCUUACGGCAGCAACUAAUGCCUUUCUUAUGGAUCCCUGGUGGAACCCAGCUGUUGAAGAACAGGCUGUGAUAAGAUUAGCAUGUGCCAUGCAUCAUGGAAUUAUUAUGUUGUGAUCAUUUGUAUUUGCAUUAUCAUGGCCUGUUGUUAUU